rnacentral:misc_RNA from 1 species
GGGGCGGCGUACGCCGGCGUGCCGCAGGAGGUGUGGAGGCGGCCGUCGCGGAGGUUGUCGGGGAGCGCGGAGAGGCCGAAGUCGGAGACCUUGAGAUCGCCGCUGUCGUCGAGUAAGAGGUUUUCGGGUUUCAGAUCUCGGUGAUAGACGCCGCGGGCGUGGCAGAAGGAGAGGGCGGAGACAAGCUGCUGGAAGUAUUUCCGGGCGGUGUCUUCGCGGAGGCGGCCUUUGGAGACCUUGGCGAAGAGCUCGCCGCCGCGGACGUACUCCAUGACGAAGUAAAUCUUGGCUUUAGUUGCCAUGACUUCGUGGAGGU